GGGACGCAGAGAGAAAGCCAGAGCCGGAAAUGGAAAACCGGUGCAAGCGAGGUAUCCGUAAGGGAGGCAAAACCCCCUUACAAGGAGAAGACGUAAUGCGGAGUGAACUAUAAGUAACGAAGCUGGUGAGCUAGCUGCCAAGAAAAGCCGCUAUUGUUUUGUAUGUGCCCGUACCGUAAACCGACACAGGUGGAUGAGGAGAGAAUCCUAAGGCCGGCGGGAGAAGUGUUGUUAAGGAACUCGGCAAAAUGACUCCGUAACUUCGGGAGAAGGAGUGCCACAGAGAUGUGGCCGCAGAGAAAUGGCCCAAGCAACUGUUUAGCAAAAACACAGGUCUAUGCAAAACCGAAAGGUGAGGUAUAUGGGCUGACGCCUGCCCGGUGCUGGAAGGUUAAGAGGAGAGCUUAGCGCAAGCGAAGGUUUGAAUUUAAGCCCCAGUAAACGGCGGCCGUAACAAUAACGGUCCUAAGGUAGCGAAAUUCCUUGUCGGGUAAGUUCCGACCCGCACGAAAGGCGUAAUGAUUUGGGCACUGUCUCGACAACACACCCGGUGAAAUUGAAAUACCAGUGAAGAUGCUGGUUACCUGCGCCAGGACGGAAAGACCCCAUGGAGCUUUACUCCAGUUUGAUACUGGGAUUCGGUACUGUCUGUACAGGAUAGGUGGGAAGCUAGGAAAUGAUGACGCCAGUUGUCAUGGAGCUGACCUUGGGAUACCACCCUUACAGUACUGGGCUUCUAACCUGCAGCCGUGACCCGGCUGGGGGACAAUGUCUGACGGGGAGUUUGACUGGGGCGGUCGCCUCCGAAAGGGUAUCGGAGGCGCUCAAAGGUUCCCUCAGAAUGGUCGGAAACCAUUCGAAGAGUGCAAAGGCAGAAGGGAGCUUGACUGCGACACCGACGGGUGGAGCAGGUACGAAAGUAGGACCUAGUGAUCCGGUGGUAUAACGUGGGAUUGCCAUCGCUCAACGGAUAAAAGCUACCCUGGGAUAACAGGCUUAUCACUCCCAAGAGUUCACAUCGACGGAGUGGUUUGGCACCUCGAUGUCGGCUCAUCGCAUCCUGGAGCUGUAGCAGGUUCCAAGGGUUGGGCUGUUCGCCCAUUAAAGCGGUACGCGAGCUGGGUUCAGAACGUCGUGAGACAGUUCGGUCCCUAUCCGGCGUGGGCGUAGGAUAUUUGAGAGGAGCUGUCCUUAGUACGAGAGGACCGGGAUGGACGGACCGCUGGUGUAUCUGUUGUUGACCAACAGCAUGGCAGAGUAGCCAAGUCCGGCAGGGAUAAACGCUGAAGGCAUCUAAGCGUGAAGCCCCCCUCAAGAUUAGAUAUCCCAUUCUUUAAAGAAAUAAGACCCCUUGAAGACUACGAGGUUGAUAGGUCUGAGGUGUAAGUGCGGUAACGUAUUCAGCUGACAGAUACUAAUAGGUCGAAGACUUAUU
rnacentral:rRNA from 1 species